UUCAAAGGCAGCGUGACUCCCAAGUCCCAGUGCCAACUGUGGACCCCUACACCUCCCUAAAAUCAUGGCAUUUAGUUCACUGCCCCUUGCUGGCAGCAUAUGCUCUUGGGUCCCAAAGGGGCAGGAGGAUCAUCCCAGAUCUGAAAUUGCACAGAGAUGUGAGCCACUGUCGUGAUGGAAAUCGACACGUUCUAUCAAGCUGAUUUUUCAGCUACAGCAUUCAGGUUUUGUUUUUAUUCAUUACCAAAAAGAUCCAUGAAAGCCACGCUCAAACAGGUGCAGCAAUGGGCUCCCAGCAGUUGUGCAGCCUUCCCUGGGGCCCAUGAGGAAGGGGAAUCACCAGGGCAAAGGCUCUCAGUGAAAGUCUGGUGAAUAGCAGUAAUUCAAUCUAGAUUGAGGUAUGGCGGGAAGGGCUCAUGCCUGUACGACUUGUGUGUUCUUGGAGAGAGCUUCCACACGCAGGUGUGCUGGAGCAGGGGAGCAGAGGGAGAGGCAGAGACAGAAUCUCAAGCAGGCUCCAUGAUCCAAUACCCCAUUGUCCAGUCAAUGUCUUCACUUGAAUGAAUAACAGAUGCAUCACUCAACCUGGUCAAAGUGGAAUUCAUCAUCGUGCAGCAAAGAGUUAACAUAGCAGGCCGAAGAAUGCUAUCCUUACACCUGCUUGCAAGGCUGGUAUCUGGAACUUGGACUCUGGGAGGGGUUCCUUCCAUCCUCUAACUCCCAACGGUGGCUAGCCACAUGGUUUACACCAAGCAUGCUUUGUUUUCUGGAGUCUGGAAUUUGGUAUGCGCCAGGCAGAGGGGUGAUCAGCCCCUGAAAAAAGUACUAGGUGCUGAGUCUCUAAUGAGCUUGCCUGGCAGACCACAGUUCCUAUGUGUUGUCACAAUUCAAUGUCAGAGGGAUUAAACAGGUUCAGUGUGACUCCACUAGAAGAGGGGUCUAGGAAGCGUGAGCUUGGCCUGCUCUGGUCUUUACCACACAUGCCUUUUCCCUUUGUGGAUUUUGUUGUAAUAAGUCAUAGCCUCAAGUAUGAAUAUAUGCACGAUCUAUGACUUGGUCUGGUGACUCACUGAACCUGGGGGUCGUCUUGGGUUCUGUUAUCUUCUGCCUAAAGCUGUUUGUUUUUCUUAUUGUUUAUCUAAAUCAAGAACAAAUAGACUGCCUGGAGGAGCAAGUCAGAAAUAUGAGCCCGUCUUGAAUUCUCUCCUCCUCUCUGCAUUCAUUCAGUCCAGUUUAUUUGACCCCCCUCCUUGUAUCUCUCACACCUGCCUCCUUCUCUCAUCUCCCUAGACCUUGGUCUAGACCCAUGAAUUUGCCUUCUACUACUACCACCUCUUAACUAGGCUUUCACCCUUCUAAUCUCUCUUCUUUACACUCCCCCCUCCAGACUGCUGUCUGCGGGAUCUUUCUGAAAUGUAAA